rnacentral:lncRNA from 1 species
CGACGAUGGCUUUUUGCUCACGGAGCGCGCAGGCGGCAGGGGAGGCAGCAGAGGGCCCAGCACUGCGCGGCCCUUACACAACUCCGCAACGUCCGUCCUGCUGUUUCGUAACCUUCCAUGCGCAACAAAGAGUAAAAAUAGAGGUAACGUGUGCCGGUUAGAAAUUUGUGACAAAAAGCAUCCCAUCUGCGUGCUGCUGGGAGGAAAUGAGCUAAGAUUUGUUUACAAUGUGACCGUGCUCAGCUGCAGAGGCACUUUAAGGCAAAGGCAAGGAAAAAAGCAGCGCUGCUCGUUUUGAGCAUCCGUCUGCUGCACCACGCUCUGCGACGGGCUGUGCUUCGCGUGAGGAAACGCACUUCACCCAGUAAAACUGCUGAGAUGACCUCAUUAAAAGCGAGUGAGCCACGAUCCACGCCUGGAUCAGCGGGGGGUCAGCAGCGUCCAGCGGGGGGAGCCCGGCGCACACGAUCCCGUGGCGGCCCGCUCACAGCGCUGCGCGGUGCUGAGCGCCCCCGCGC